GACGAACGCUGGCGGCGUGCCUAAUACAUGCAAGUAGAACGCUGAAGAGAGGAGCUUGCUCUUCUUGAAUGAGUUGCGAACGGGUGAGUAACGCGUAGGUAACCUGCCUUGUAGCGGGGGAUAACUAUUGGAAACGAUAGCUAAUACCGCAUAACAAUGGGUGACACAUGUCAUUUAUUUGAAAGGGGCAAUUGCUCCACUACAAGAUGGACCUGCGUUGUAUUAGCUAGUAGGUGAGGUAACGGCUCACCUAGGCGACGAUACAUAGCCGACCUGAGAGGGUGAUCGGCCACACUGGGACUGAGACACGGCCCAGACUCCUACGGGAGGCAGCAGUAGGGAAUCUUCGGCAAUAGGGGCAACCCUGACCGAGCAACGCCGCGUGAGUGAAGAAGGUUGUCGGAUCGUAAAGCUCUGUUGUAAGUCAAGAAUGAGUGUGAGAGUGGAAAGUUCACACUGUGACGGUAGCUUACCAGAAAGGGACGGCUAACUACGUG
rnacentral:rRNA from 1 species